AACGCACAUUGCGCCCGCCAGUAUUCUGGCGGGCAUGCCUGUCCGAGCGUCAUUUCAACCAUCAAGCCCCGUGCUUGUGUUGGGGCCCCGCGGCUGCCGCGGGCCCUGAAAUGAAGUGGCGGGCUCGAAGUCGAACCGAGUGCAGUACACAUCCUCGCUUGACUAGACGACGAGUUCCGGCCGUAAAAAGCCCAACUUUCACAAGGUUGACCUCGGAUCAGGUAGGACUACCCGCUGAACUUAA
rnacentral:misc_RNA from 1 species